CCUACGGGAGGCAGCAGUGGGGAAUAUUGGGCAAUGGGCGCAAGCCUGACCCAGCAACGCCGCGUGAAGGAAGAAGGCAUUCGGGUUGUAAACUUCUUUUGUCAGGGACGAAGCAAGUGACGGUACCUGACGAAUAAGCGACGGCUAACUACGUGCCAGCAGCCGCGGUAAUACGUAGGUGGCAAGCGUUAUCCGGAUUUACUGGGUGUAAAGGGCGUGUAGGCGGGACUGCAAGUCAGAUGUGAAAACCACGGGCUCAACCCGUGGCCUGCAUUUGAAACUGUAGUUCUUGAGUACUGGAGAGGCAGACGGAAUUCCUAGUGUAGCGGUGAAAUGCGUAGAUAUUAGGAGGAACACCAGUGGCGAAGGCGGUCUGCUGGAUAACAACUGACGCUGAGGCGCGAAAGCGUGGGGAGCAAACAGGAUUAGAUACCCGUGUAGUC
rnacentral:rRNA from 1 species